GACGUAGGGGGCCAGCGUUGUUCGGAAUUACUGGGUGUAAAGAGCUCGUAGGCGGCUCGGUAAGUCAGGUGUGAAAACCCUAGGCUCAACCUAGAGACGCCACCUGAUACUGCUGUGGCUAGAGUCCGGUAGGGGAGCAUGGAAUUCCUGGUGUAGCGGUGAAAUGCGCAGAUAUCAGGAGGAACACCAGUGGCGAAGGCGGUGCUCUGGGCCGGAACUGACGCUGAGGAGCGAAAGCGUGGGGAGCAAACAGG
rnacentral:rRNA from 1 species